rnacentral:rRNA from 1 species
UACGUAUGGAGCAAGCGUUAUCCGGAUUUACUGGGUGUAAAGGGAGCGUAGACGGCAUGGCAAGUCUGAUGUGAAAGCCCGGGGCUCAACCCCGGAACUGCAUUGGAAACUGUCGUGCUGGAGUGCAGGAGAGGUAAGCGGAAUUCCUAGUGUAGCGGUGAAAUGCGUAGAUAUUAGGAGGAACACCAGUGGCGAAGGCGGCUUACUGGACUGUAACUGACGUUGAGGCUCGAAAGCGUGGGGAGCAAACAGG